rnacentral:tRNA from 1 species
GGAAGGAUGCGAGAGUGGUUUAAUCGGCACGCCUGGAAAGCGUGUAUGGCCGCAAGGCUAUCGGGGGUUCGAAUCCCCCUCCUUCCG